ACGCGCGCUCCAAAUCCUGGGGUGGGCGGGGGCUGGAGAAGGGACGCGAGGAAACCCGAAGAGCAUUCAUUUUCUCUUUCCCAGUAAACCUGGGUUUGGGCAGAAGCCCGAUUUCUCGCCAGCAAACUGCUCUCCGAGGCUACCGAGCGUUCCCGCCACGCCACAGGAACCGUUUCAGCUCGCCCUCGAGCUCUAGGGACCCCUCCACAGCGGGGCCUCCUGGAAUUCCCCGCCGGUCUCCGCGAGCACACUCGGCGGGCUGGUGCAGCCAAAACUACCUUCACCUGGCGGUGUCCUCCUCCCUCAGAGACAUCCAGACAUUACCCUCAAAACUGGAAGGGAGGACUCUGAGUGAUCUAGAAAUCAGUGGGGCAGGGAGGGAGACACACAGCAGCUUCCCUCAGGUGGGAUCUCUAAUAAGAGGCUGGCAGAAAAGUUCCUGUUCUUCCCAUACUCUGCCUAGCCCUCAGGUCUCAGAGAGAAUCACUUCCAUUCCACCUACCUCACAGGAUGGCUGUGCUAUUCAUUCAACUAUUUUUUUAUUGAGUACUUGCUAUGUGCCAAACACUGUUUUGGCACAGUGGAUGU